ACCCUUCAGCCACUCACUCACUCACUCCUUCCCUCAUUUGUUCAUUCAUUCCUGUCCAGUAACUUCUAAUCCAGAGAUGAGGCCCAUGCCUGGAGCUGAGGCCAGAUGUGGAAGGCUCACAGGAUCCACAAGGGAGCUACUUGUGCAGGGCUCACUCUCGACUCCUUCCCACGGCUCCACAAACCAACGUGUCCAACUCAGCUUUCCAGGGCUUCAUUACAAGGUUACCUGGGCAGAGCAGGGAGAGACCAGAGGAGACAAUGUUUAGCCUGAAUUAGCUAUUUACUGGAGCUGAACAUGGAGUGAAAGAAGUGAGCUACAUAAUGUCUGUCUUGAGCCAACUUCCAACACAAGGGCACUGAGCGGAGAGGUGGCACGGCAAUGUUUCAUCUUCUUGUUAUCGUGAAUUAAAGACUCCAGCAGAAGUCCUUCAUCUGGAAAAUAAUGUCUCGAGGGAGUCUUCAAGUUCAAGAAAGGUAUUUCCAAGAAGAUGUAGGAAUAAAGAAAAGCAGAUGCUGACCA
rnacentral:lncRNA from 1 species